CAGUAGCCGCGGGAAUACGUAGGUGGCAAGCGUUGUCCGGAAUUAUUGGGCGUAAAGGGCUCGCAGGCGGCUUCUUAAGUCUGAUGUGAAAGCCCCCGGCUCAACCGGGGAGGGUCAUUGGAAACUGGGAAACUUGAGUGCAGAAGAGGAGAGUGGAAUUCCACGUGUAGCGGUGAAAUGCGUAGAGAUGUGGAGGAACACCAGUGGCGAAGGCGACUCUCUGGUCUGUAACUGACGCUGAGGAGCGAAAGCGUGGGGAGCGAACAGGAUUAGAGACCCGAGUAGUCCCUGUCUCUUAUAA
rnacentral:rRNA from 1 species